rnacentral:rRNA from 1 species
UACAGAGGGUGCAAGCGUUAAUCGGAAUUACUGGGCGUAAAGCGUGCGUAGUCGGUUAUUUAAGUCGGGCGUGAAAGCCCCGGGCUCAACCUGGGAAUUGCGUUCGAUACUGGAUAGCUAGAGUUCGGCAGAGGGAAGCGGAAUUUCGGGUGUAGCGGUGAAAUGCGUAGAUAUCCGAAGGAACAUCAGUGGCGAAGGCGGCUUCCUGGACCAGAACUGACGAUCAGGCACGAAAGCGUGGGGAGCAAACAGG